rnacentral:rRNA from 1 species
GAUGAACGCUGGCGGCGUGCUUAACACAUGCAAGUCGAACGGAAAGGCUCCUGCUUGCAGGGGUACUCGAGUGGCGAACGGGUGAGUAACACGUGGGUGAUCUGCCCUGCACUUCGGGAUAAGCCUGGGAAACUGGGUCUAAUACCGGAUAGGACGAUGGUUUGGAUGCCAUUGUGGAAAGUUUUUCGGUGUGGGAUGAGCUCGCGGCCUAUCAGCUUGUUGGUGGGGUAAUGGCCUACCAAGGCGUCGACGGGUAGCCGGCCUGAGAGGGUGUACGGCCACAUUGGGACUGAGAUACGGCCCAGACUCCUACGGGAGGCAGCAGUGGGGAAUAUUGCACAAUGGGCGCAAGCCUGAUGCAGCGACGCCGCGUGGGGGAUGACGGCCUUCGGGUUGUAAACUCCUUUCGCUAGGGACGAAGCGCAAGUGACGUUACCUGGAGAAGAAGCACCGGCUAACUACGUG